rnacentral:rRNA from 1 species
UACAGAGGUCCCAAGCGUUGUUCGGAUUCACUGGGCGUAAAGGGUGCGUAGGCGGUCGGGUAAGUCUGAUGUGAAAUCUCACAGCUUAACUGUGAAACUGCAUUGGAUACUAUCCGGCUCGAGGAAUGGAGGGGAGACUGGAAUACUUGGUGUAGCAGUGAAAUGCGUAGAUAUCAAGUGGAACACCAGUGGCGAAGGCGAGUCUCUGGACAUUUCCUGGCGCUGAGGCACGAAAGCCAGGGAGCAAACGGG